UACGGAGGGGGCGAGCGUUAUUCGGAAUUAUUGGGCGUAAAGGGCGCGUAGGCGGCUCUGUAAGUCAAAGGUGAAAUCCCUCGGCUCAACUGAGGAACUGCCUUUGAAACUGCAGGGCUUGAGGCCGGGAGGGGGUAGCGGAAUUCCCAGUGUAGCGGUGAAAUGCGUAGAUAUUGGGAGGAACACCAGUGGCGAAGGCGGCUACCUGGACCGGUUCUGACGCUGAGGCGCGAAAGCGUGGGUAGCAAACAGG
rnacentral:rRNA from 1 species